GAACUUUGAAGACAUUGCCUCAUUAUGUCUUAAGUUCUGAGGCUGCUAUUCAAAAAUCUGAUACCAGUUUGAUUCUAGUUCCUUUUUAAUUGACCUGCUUUACUCACUGGAAGCUUUUAGAAGCUUCUCAUUAUUCCUGGAAGAUGGGGAGCAAUGCAGAACUAUGUAUUAUGGGCAGGCCACUGCUUCAUGCUAGGGGAAUUCACUCAGCCAUGAGGGAUAACUUAGGACAGGCUGUAUAAAGAAUCCAGGUCUUGGGACAGCCAAUGGGAGGCAGAGAAAAGGGCUUUGUGUUCUCUGGCCCCUUCCUAUCCACAGAGAAUUACACCGUGCAUUUCUGCACUGCAUCAAGUGGCCUCUUGGGAGCCAGAUCUUAUGACCUGUGGUGUAGAAUUUUAUCCAAGUCCAGAAGUGGAAGGAGGAUCCAGAACCACUCAGGGAAUCCAGCGAGGCUGAAAGUCUGUGGAUACAUCCAGGGAGGCCAAUCCCAGAGAAGGAAGCAGGGACAAAGGGCCAACGGUGUUUCAAAUCCUGCCUCCAGCGCCAGCCCUGCACUCCUCGGUUUAGCUGCGAGAGACAUGAAAGUCUCCUCCCAGUGUCCACUGGUUUCAGCUUGGGCUUCUAUCACUUGAAGACAAAAGUUCCUGACUAACGCUUAUGACCAAGAAAAAUAUCAAUAAAACCUUUAAAAAUGCUUUAUCCAAUAA